AACGCGAAGAACCUUACCUGGGCUAGAAUGCCUCUGACCGGCGUAGAGAUACGCCUUCCUGGGUAAAACCAGGCAGAGUGCAAGGUGCUGCAUGGCUGUCGUCAGCUCGUGUCGUGAGAUGUUGGGUUAAGUCCCGCAACGAGCGCAACCCUUAUCAAUAGUUGCCAGCGGUUCGGCCGGGCACUCUAUUGAGACUGCCGUUGACAAAACGGAGGAAGGUGGGGAUGACGUCAAGUCCUCAUGGCCUUUAUGUCCAGGGCUACACACGUGCUACAAUGGCGAGUACAAAGCGCUGCAAACCUGCAAAGGGGAGCCAAUCGCAAAAAGCUCGUCUCAGUUCGGAUUGGAGUCUGCAACUCGACUCCAUGAAGCUGGAAUCGCUAGUAACCGCAGAUCAGCAUGCUGCGGUGAAUACGUUCCCGGGUCUUGUACACACCG
rnacentral:rRNA from 1 species